GGCCAGACUCCUACGGGAGGCAGCAGUGAGGAAUAUUGGUCAAUGGGCGCGAGCCUGAACCAGCCAAGUAGCGUGAAGGAUGACUGCCCUACGGGUUGUAAACUUCUUUUAUAAAGGAAUAAAGUGAGGCACGUGUGCCUUUUUGUAUGUACUUUAUGAAUAAGGAUCGGCUAACUCCGUGCCAGCAGCCGCGGUAAUACGGAGGAUCCGAGCGUUAUCCGGAUUUAUUGGGUUUAAAGGGAGCGUAGAUGGGUUGUUAAGUCAGAUGUGAAAGCUUGGGGCUCAACCGUGAGAUUGCAAUUGAAACUGUCAGUCUUGAGUGCAGGGGAGGUAGGCGGAAUUCCGGGUGUAGCGGUGAAAUGCGUAGAUAUCCCGAGGAACACCGAUUGCGAAGGCAGCUUACUGAACAGCAACUGACGUUGAGGCUCGAAAGCGUGGGCAGCAAGCAGGAUUAGAUACCCGAGUAC
rnacentral:rRNA from 1 species